AUUGAACGCUGGCGGCAGGCCUAACACAUGCAAGUCGAACGAGUGGCGGACGGGUGAGUAAUGUAUGGGAAACUGCCUGAUGGAGGGGGAUAACUACUGGAAACGGUAGCUAAUACCGCAUACCAUCGGAUGUGCCCAGAUGGGAUUAGCUAGUAGGUGGGGUAACGGCUCACCUAGGCGACGAUCCCUAGCCGGUCUGAGAGGAUGAGCGGCCACACUGGAACUGAGACACGGUCCAGACUCCUACGGGAGGCAGCAGUGGGGAAUAUUGGACAAUGGGCGCAAGCCUGAUGCAGCCAUGCCGCGUGUAUGAAGAAGGCCUUCGGGUUGUAAAGUACUUUCAGCGGGGAGGCGUUACCCGCCGAAGAAGCACCGGCUAACUCCGUGCCAGCAGCCGCGGUAAUAC
rnacentral:rRNA from 1 species